AUUGAACGCUGGCGGCAUGCCUUACACAUGCAAGUCGAACGGCAGCACGGGAGCAAUCCUGGUGGCGAGUGGCGAACGGGUGAGUAAUAUAUCGGAACGUGCCCAGUAGUGGGGGAUAACUGCUCGAAAGAGCAGCUAAUACCGCAUACGACCUGAGGGUGAAAGGGGGGGAUCGCAAGACCUCUCGCUAUUGGAGCGGCCGAUAUCAGAUUAGCUAGUUGGUGGGGUAAAGGCCUACCAAGGCAACGAUCUGUAGUUGGUCUGAGAGGACGACCAGCCACACUGGGACUGAGACACGGCCCAGACUCCUACGGGAGGCAGCAGUGGGGAACUUUGGACAAUGGGCGCAAGCCUGAUCCAGCAAUGCCGCGUGCAGGAAGAAGGCCUUCGGGUUGUAAACUGCUUUUGUCAGGGAAGAAAUCCUCUAGGUUAAUACCCUUGGGGGGAUGACGGUACCUGAAGAAUAAGCACCGGCUAACUACGUGCCAGCAGCCGCAGUAACAC
rnacentral:rRNA from 1 species